GCACCUGCUGUUUUUCAAGUGCCUUCAGCUCAAAUAAUCAAUAUGCCUAAGUGGCGUAUUUUGGGGUGCCAUGUCCUGACCCCUUCAAGAUCAUUUGAAGAGAAUGAAUGUGGAUGGAGAAUAUGUUUGAGAACUGAACCCUGAGACAACACGACAUGUAGAGGUCAGCAAGAGGAGGCAGAUCUAGAAAAGGAGACUGAGCAUGAGUGGUUUGUGAAGUAGAAGGCAAACCAGGAGAAUGUGGAGUCCCAGAAUUCUUGAGAAGACUGUGACAACUCAACACUUGGGACACAUUAGUACAUUACUGAGGUGUACUUGUUCACAUGUUUUGGGGUCUAUUCAGAUUUCUUUUUCCUCGUGUAAGUUUU